GAUGAACGCUGGCGGCGUGCCUAAUACAUGCAAGUCGAACGAACGGGCGAGAAGCUUGCUUCUCUGAUGUUAGCGGCCGACGGGUGAGUAAUACGUGGAUAACCUACCUUUAAGUCUGGGAUAACUUCGGGAAACCGUAUCUAAUACCGGAUACUAUUUUUCACCGCAUGGUUCUAUAUUGAAAGACGGUCUUUCUUUCUCUUUUAGAUGGAUCCGCGCUGCAUUAGCUAGUUGGUAAGGUAACGGCUUACCAAGGCCACGACGCGGAGCCGACCUGAGAGGGUGGUCGGCCACACUGGAACUGAGACACGCCCCACAGGCACACGGGAGGCAGCAGUAGGCAAUCGUCAGGCAUGAGCGAAAGCCUGAGGAAGAAAGGCGGAGGGAGUAAUGAACGACGUCGGAUCGGAAAACUCUGUUAUUAGGGAAGAACAUAUGUGUAGGUAGCUGUGCACAACAUGACGGUAACUAAUAAGAAAGCCACGGCUAACUACGUGC
rnacentral:rRNA from 1 species